rnacentral:tRNA from 1 species
UUUUUACUUAUUAGAUGAAAUAAAUUUACUUACAUUAAAUUUUACUUAUUUUAGCAUCU